rnacentral:tRNA from 1 species
GCGCAGUUUGGGCAACGGCGCGGCGGCUUUUUCCGGCGGGGCCGGAUGCUGGACCUCCGCCGGCAUCGCCGGUUGCGGCGGCGAGCGGUGCA